AGUGGCGGACGGGUGAGUAACGCGUAAGAAUCUGCCUACAGGACGGGGAUAACGACUGGAAACGGUCGCUAAAACCCGAUGUGCCGAGAGGUGAAAUAUUAAUAGCCUGUAGAUGAGCUUGCGUCUGAUUAGCUAGUUGGAGUGGUAACGGCACACCAAGGCGACAAUCAGUAACUGGUCUGAGAGGAUGACCAGUCACACUGGGACUGAGACACGGCCCAGACUCCUACGGGAGGCAGCAGUGGGGAAUUUUCCGCAAUGGGCGAAAGCCUGACGGAGCAAUACCGCGUGCGGGACGAAGGCUUUUGGGUCGUAAACCGCUUUUGUUAGGGAAGAAUAACUGACGGUACCUAACGAAUCAGCAUCGGCUAACUCCGUGCCAGCAGCCGCGGUAAUACGGAGGAUGCAAGCGUUAUCCGGAUUUAUUGGGCGUAAAGCGUCCGCAGGUGGUUAAUCAAGUCUGCUGUCAAAGCGUGGGGCUUAACCCCAUAAAGGCAGUGGAAACUGAUGAACUAGAGUACGGUAGGGGUAGCGGGAAUUCCCAGUGUAGCGGUGAAAUGCGUAGAUAUUGGGAAGAACACCAGCGGCGAAGGCGCGCUACUGGGCCGAAACUGACACUCAUGGACGAAAGCUAGGGGAGCGAAAGGGAUUAGAUACCCCUGUAGUCCUAGCUGUAAACGAUGACAACUAGGUGUUGCGCGUAUCGA
rnacentral:rRNA from 1 species